CAGGGAUUGCCCUAGUAACGGCGAGUGAAGCGGCAACAGCUCAAAUUUGAAAUCUGGCCCUAGCGGUCCGAGUUGUAAUUUGUAGAGGAUGCUUUUGGUUAGGUGCCUUCUGAGUUCCCUGGAACGGGACGCCAGAGAGGGUGAGAGCCCCGUACGGUUGGACACCGAGCCUCUAUAUAGCUCCUUCGACGAGUCGAGUAGUUUGGGAAUGCUGCUCUAAAUGGGAGGUAAAUUUCUUCUAAAGCUAAAUACCGGCCAGAGACCGAUAGCGCACAAGUAGAGUGASUCGAAAGAUGAAAAGUACUUUGAAAAGAGGGUUAAAUAGCACGUGAAAUUGUUGAAAGGGAAGCGUUUGCGACCAGACUUUUUCCAGGCGGAUCAUCCGGUGUUCUCACCGGUGCACUUCGCCUGGUUUAGGCCAGCAUCGGUUCCCUUAGGGGGAUAAAGGCCUGGGGAACGUAGCUCCUUCGGGAGUGUUAUAGCCCCUAGCGUAAUACCCUUCGGGGGACCGAGGAACGCGCAUCUGCAAGGAUGCUGGCGUAAUGGUCGUCAACGACCCGUCUUGAAACACGGACCAAGGAGUCGAACAUUUGUGCGAGUGUUUGGGUGUUAAACCCUCACGCGUAAUGAAAGUGAACGGAGGUGAGAGCCCUUCGGGGUGCAUCAUCGACCGAUCCUGAUGUCUUCGGAUGGAUUUGAGUAAGAGCAUAACUGUUCGGACCCGAAAGAUGGUGAACUAUGCGUGGAUAGGGUGAAGCCAGAGGAAACUCUGGUGGAGGCUCGCAGCGGUUCUGACGUGCAAAUCGAUCGUCAAAUCUGCGCAUGGGGGGCGAAAGACUUAUCGAACCAUCUAGUAGCUGGUUACCGCCGAAGUUCCCCCCUCCAGGAUUAGCCAGCG
rnacentral:rRNA from 1 species